rnacentral:rRNA from 1 species
AGUGAACGCUGGCGGUAGGCCUAACACAUGCAAGUCGAACGGCAGCACAGUAAGUUCUUGCUCUUACGGGUGGCGAGUGGCGGACGGGUGAGGAAUACAUCGGAAUCUACUUUUUCGUGGGGGAUAACGUAGGGAAACUUACGCUAAUACCGCAUACGCCCUACGGGUGAAAGCAGGGGAUCUUCGGACCUUGCGCGAUUGAAUGAGCCGAUGUCGGAUUAGCUAGUUGGCGGGGUAAAGGCCCAGCAAGGCGGCGAUCCGUAGCUGGAGUGUGAGGAUGGUCGGCGGCACUGGAGGGGGACCACGGUCCAGACGCCUGCGGUAGGCAGCAGACGGGAAUAUGGGACAAUGGGGGCGAGCCUGAUCCAGCCGUACCGCGUGGGUGGAGAAGGCGUUCGGGUUGUAAAGCCCUUUUUUUGGGAGAGAAAAGCAGCAGGUUAAUACGACGCGGUUCUGACGGUACCCAAAGAAGAAGCACCGGCUAACUUCGUG